GGAGUCUUGCUCUGUCCCUCAGGCUGGAGUGCAGCGGCGCCAUCUCAGCUGAAUGCAACCUCUGCCUCCUGGGUUCAAGAGAUUCUCCUGCCUCAGCCUCCCAAGUAGCUGGGAUUACAGAACGCAAAAGAUUCUUCAAAAUCAAACUGUGUCCGGAAUUGGUGGGUUCUUGGUCUCACUGACUUCAAGAAUGAAGCCACGGACCCUGGCGGUGAGUGUUACAGCUCUUAAGGUGGCGUUUCUGGAGUCUGUCCCUUCUGAUGUUCAGAUGUGUUCGGAGUUUCUUCCUUCUGGUGGGUUCGUGGUCUCGCUGGCUCAGGAGUGAAGCUGCAGAUCUUCACGGUUGCUAGUAACACAAUAAUAAAGCUGCUUUAUUUUCCAGUGAAGAUGUAUGUGAUAGGGAGUGGAGGAAGAAAAAGGCCAGAAAAUUCCAUAGUUAGCAAAUAUACCUUUCUUACUUAAAAUUCUUUUUCCAAUGUGAGCCUUCUAAAGAGUUACUGAGAAAUUAGGUGAGCUCACCUCAUUUAAUGCAAUAGAUAUGUUUCUGAAAAAUAAGCAAUACAUAGGACAUUGGCCAAUUAAGAAUUCUGAUGAAGAAGAAUUUUCACAUCCGAAAGAGUAAAAAUGAAAAACGGUACAAAUGUAGUGGCUUUUAAAUUUCAAAACAAAUUAUUUUGAUAAGAUAAAUAUUCCUCUCAUAAAGUGAAAAUGGAAGAGACUGCUUGCUGGGUGUUCGUCAAAAUGGAGUUAGAUGGUCUGUCCCAGACUCCCCUGUUGUUAGUUCUGAGAACAGAAGUAAUGGUGCUUCUUCAGGACUGGCUCAUAGAAACCUGCCGUGUUCAGCCCCCACAAUCCUCUCCCUUCUGCUGGCUGGAAACAAAUGACAACGAAGCCUCACGUCUUGGAGAAACCACACUGCUGAGGAACUCAAGUCCUAGAAGAACCAUUUGAAGAGACCCAUCUCACUAAAGAAAAUCACACAAGCAAGAAGUAAACUUCAUUGUAUCUAUGUAUUUAAUUGUCAUAACAGUCUACCUUAACUGAUACAGCAAAAAUUCGCUCCUUUUCUGGACACCCAGUUUCAAAA
rnacentral:lncRNA from 1 species